rnacentral:rRNA from 1 species
UACGUAGGGUGCGAGAGUUGUCCGGAAUUAUUGGGCGGAAAGGGCUCGUAGGCGGUUUGUCGCGUCGGGAGUGAAAUCCACUGGCUUAACUGGUGGCUUGCUUUCGAUACGGGCAGACUGGAGGUAUGCAGGGGAGAACGGAAUUCCUGGUGUAGCGGUGAAAUGCGCAGAUAUCAGGAGGAACACCGGUGGCGAAGGCGGUUCUCUGGGCAUGUCCUGACGCUGAGGAGCGAAAGCGUGGGGAGCGAACAGG